ACCAGAUAAGAAAAAGUUCACCCUGUGCUGUCUGGUCCACCCCAGAUGUCAUCACAGUAUGCUAAUGAGCCGGGGGCCUUUAAGUGCCAGAGCCCAGCAGGCAGACCGGUUAAGGAGCUCCAGACGUGGACCCAUCUCAGCCAUGAAAAAUGAACACGUGAAGGAAAGCGUCAGCGGCGCGUGAAAGAUGGCACUGCCACACUGCAUGCAAAAAGGUUCCUAACACUGGAACUCGCUGCUUACUGUUAUGUCUUGUGCCCUGGACAGGAUAUCAUCUUAUACUGUAAGUUUAUUAAAGAGACACUACAGUAUAGAUGAUGUACUAUCCAGGGUUUCAUUCCCCCGCCGGCACCAUCACGCCUAACUGACUGUGGCAGGCUGCACACACGCUGCAGAGGAGGACCGUCAAACCGUUACCAUUACUGAGUUUCAGCAAUGGUAAGGGUUAUACGGCCCUCGCUCAAUGUCAUCUGGAGACGGAGGAUAAAGAAAGUUGGUGAUUGAUGUGUUACACAAGAGCUUCUAGAGGCCAUCUUUAGAUCCCAUUUUUGAGACAUACUUGUGGAUGCAUGUCAAAUAAAGUUUAUGGCUCCCAAA